CGAGAGGGCGAGAGGCCCAUCCGCGCAACGAAAGCGAAUGGCGGGACGCUCUCCCCGCAGGGGGCGGCGCCGCCGGCCGGACGUCCUCGAGGCGGACCGAGCCGGAGCGCUCGCGUCGGGACCCGAAAGGUGGUGAUCUAUCCGUGCGCGCGGCGAAGCCGGGGGAAACCCCGGUGGAGGCCCGUCGACGGUACUGACGUGCAAAUCGUUCGUCCGACGUGCGAAUAGGGGCGAAAGACCAAUCGAACCUCCUAGUAGCUGGUUUCCGCCGAAAUUUCCCUCAGGAUAGCGGCCAUCGCGGAAACGUUUUGACCGGUAGAGCGAACGACUAGAGGUACCGGGCCGUAACGGCCUCGACCUAUUCUCGAACUCCGAACGGGCAAGGAGCCGGGGUCGCCCGAUCGGACCCCGGACGUGAAGUCGACGAUGGUCGUGGGCUGGUUUUGGUAAGCAGAACGGGCGAUUCGGGAUGAACCGGAAGCGGGGAGAAAGGGCCCGAGAUUGCGUCGACGCGGAUCCCGAAAAGGCGUCGAUCCGUCGCGACAGCGG
rnacentral:rRNA from 1 species